rnacentral:rRNA from 1 species
GACGAACGCUGGCGGCGUGCUUAACACAUGCAAGUCGAACGGAAAGGCCCUGCUUUUGUGGGGUGCUCGAGUGGCGAACGGGUGAGUAACACGUGAGUAACCUGCCCUUGACUUUGGGAUAACUUCAGGAAACUGGGGCUAAUACCGGAUAGGAGCUCCUGCUGCAUGGUGGGGGUUGGAAAGUUUCGGCGGUUGGGGAUGGACUCGCGGCUUAUCAGCUUGUUGGUGGGGUAGUGGCUUACCAAGGCUUUGACGGGUAGCCGGCCUGAGAGGGUGACCGGCCAUAUUGGGACUGAGAGACGGCCCAGCCUCCGCCGGGAGGCAGAGGGGGGGAAUAUGGCACAAGGGGGGGAGGCCUGAUGCAGCAACGCCGGGGGGGGGAUGACGGCUGUCGGGUUGUAAACCGUUUUCGCCUGGGACGAAGCGGGAGUGAGGGUAAGGGGUAAAAAGGCACCGGCUAACUAGGUG